AACCCAAAAGGGACUCAAAGCCAAUUGUUUUACCAGCAAAAUGAGUUUCUCCAGGAAUAGCAGAGGAAUUGAAAUUUGGGACAAGCAAACUAUGGCAAACCAUUGGAGAUAAAAUUCCUAUAAAGAUGUCUUACAUUGUCAAGAUAAGAAUUCUGUUCCUUCUGCUGGUUAUGCGGGCUGCAAGGAGUGAUUUAAAGAAACUUUCUCUUAGGCUAAUUUACACCUUUGCAAGCAGAAUUCAAACACUUCUCCCUACCUAAUCCGUUCAGAAUUUGGAAACUCGCAUUCUUGUGUCAUGUAUGCCAACAUGACUAUUUGGUGAUGUCCCCAUGCAGUGAUCCUUUCAGUUGGUAUAUCUCAGAUUGCUGGAAGUUCUUUUGGAAGUUCUGGCAGUGGCAAUCAAACAAGAAAAAGAAAAGCCAUAGGAAUUAAAAGAAGGAAGGAAGGAAGCCAGCAAGCCCUGGA